AUAUAUAUUGUAUUUCCAUUCUUUUUCUUUUUCUUUUUCUACUGU
rnacentral:ribozyme from 1 species